rnacentral:other from 1 species
AGAUCCCUGCUGUGUGCGUGGUAGUCGACAUGUUUUGAGCCAACACAUUUGAAGAGGGAGCACAGUCUCUGAUAGCGGCGUACAUGCCCCCAAGGGGAAGUAUAAGGUUGUCAGGCUGGCACCCACCUGCUUGAGAGAGCAGCUUCAAAAACGGUCGACCCACGGCAUGGUGGGGUUUUU